rnacentral:rRNA from 1 species
CAGCAGCAGCCGCGGGAAUACGAAGGGUGCAAGCGUUAAUCGGAAUUACUGGGCGUAAAGCGUGUGUAGGCGGUUUGUUAAGUCUGUUGUGAAAUCCCCGGGCUCAACCUGGGAAUGGCAAUGGAUACUGGCAAGCUAGAGUGUGUCAGAGGAUGGUGGAAUUCCCGGUGUAGCGGUGAAAUGCGUAGAGAUCGGGAGGAACAUCAGUGGCGAAGGCGGCCAUCUGGGACAACACUGACGCUGAGGCACGAAAGCGUGGGGAGCAAACAGGAUUAGAUACCCCCGUAGUCCCUGUCUCUUAUAC